CUCAGAACGAACGCUGGCGGCAGGCUUAACACAUGCAAGUCGAGCGCCCCGCAAGGGGAGCGGCAGACGGGUGAGUAACACGUGGGAACGUGCCCUUCAGUUCCGAACAACCAAGGGAAACUUUGGCUAAUACCGAAUACGUCCGAAAGGAGAAAGAUUUAUCGCCGAAAGAUCGGCCCGCGUCCGAUUAGCUAGUUGGUAGGGUAAUGGCCUACCAAGGCGGGGAUCAGUAGCUGGUCUGAGAGGCUUAUCAGCCUCACUGGGAUUUAUCCACGGCCCAG
rnacentral:rRNA from 1 species